CACACCAAAUUGGAAAACCGCAUUCCUAAAACCCUACCCGACGAAAUUGCAAUGGCGGACGGCGGCGGCGGGGCCGGCGACCUCCUGAGCGCGCUCCCCGACGACGUCCUCCACCUCAUCCUCCUCCGCCUCCGCUCCGCCGCCGCCGCGGCGCGCACCAGCGUCCUCGCCCGCCGCUGGCGCAGCCUCUGGACCACCCUCCCGGAGCUACGGUUCCCCGCCGUCACCGACCUCGCCCGCGUCACCGCCGCGCUCCUCUCCCACGACGCCCCGCUCCUCCACCGUCUCGAGCUCUGCAGCCACGACCCCGCCCCGCACGAGGUCGCCGCCGUCCUCCACUUGGCCGCGCGCAGCUUAGCAGGCAAGCUCCUCCUCGACAUCGUGAUGAGGAAGAAGAGAAAUCCGGUGGCGGCGGCGGCGGCCGGGAUUGGGGCCGCGUUUCACAUCCCCUGCUUCCGGAAGGCCACGGAGAUCAGCAUCCGCUUCGCCUACCUUACCAUCCGGCUGCCUCCCUUCGGUGUCUUCGCGAAGCUGUCCGUGCUGCGCUUGACCCGCUUCCGGCUUGACGACAGCCAGUGUGAUCAUCUCGGCGACAUCGUCUCCUCCGAGCGGUGCCCGUCGCUGCAAGCGCUCACUCUCUGCAAUUCUCAAGGCUUGUCAAAUCAGCCAUCCGCUCCAAGACUCUCCUCACCGUUGGCCUCUUUGAGCUGGAAGAACUGCAGCAGCUCACGAUUUCUGCUCCCAUGCUUAGAACACUGCAUCUGGUCCAUUGCUUAGACAAGAGGGCGGUAAGAGCCGCUGACAUCUCUGCUGCGGCGUUGGAGAAACUUGGGUGGAUUGGUCUGUGCGAUUGGAACUCGGUCCACUUCAAUGUGAUACAACACCUCAAGAGACUCGACACCUUGAACCUUUCGGUGUAUGGACCGCCGAAUCUUGUCGAUUCUUGAUACCCGGGCUCUAUGUCACUCCUCCAGCAUUUCAAAGCAGUCUCAAAUGUCGACCUCUAUCUCAUUUAUCCAUCUAGCAUGGUUGACUGUGAGUUCUUGAUGGAGGACAUGAAUACUCUCCCUGCCAUUGAGAUCUUAUCUCUGAGGUCAAUAACAGCAGGCCAUGCCUUUGGACCUUGUGUAUUCCAAUUGCUUAGGACGUCUACUGGUGUAAGAGAGUUGCACCUGGACUUGGAUCAUCACCUUAAGGGAGAAGUUUCUUGCUCAUCUGGCUGCAUCUGUUACAAGCCGUCGGACUGGGAGAGUAUGGAUAUCUGCUUGAAUUUUCUCCAGAAAGUUGAAAUCAACAAUUUGAGUGGAGCAGAGUAUGAAAUAUGUUUUGUGAAGCGACUGUUGACAUGGGCGCCAGUGCUCAAGAUGAUUACAGUAAUGUUUGGUCCUUCAGUAACUGUCAGCGAGGAGGUGUGCCAGGAGCUGCUUAGCUUCUCUAGGAGGUGUAGUCCAGGGAUUUGCAUGGAAAUUUACUUGCACGGCAACAGAGCCAAGGUUAUGUAUAGAGCAGUGAACCUGAAGAGACCUAGAGAUGAUUAACUGACAAUGAAAUGGCGACCUGGAGCCUAGUAUAUUCAGUCAAAGGAGCACUGUAAUUGGGCAAUUUUCAAGCCCGCCUCUGAGAUCAAUCUGUUGUAAGGAUGUUUGUCUCUCGUGAUAUAGGGAUUAAUUAUGUAUUUGAGCAUGGUUCAAUGCACUCUCAACUUGUUUCCGAAAUCA